UGUACUUCAGUGGUAAAGUGCUCCUGGGUUCAGUCCUCAGUACCAUCAAAAAGAAAAAAAAAAUUGAUGAGGAAAUGUUUAACCUGAUAUAAACAUUACAUAAUGUAUAUGUAUAUACACAUUAUGCAUAGAAACAUCAUAUGGCACCCCAUAAAUAUGUCUAAUUUUUAUGUAUCUGUUAAAAAGAAAUAUAAAGUGACAUAUAGUUGAGGUGUUCUGUAGUGGUCAAUUAGGGCAAAAUGGUUAAUAUUGUUCAUUUGCAUUUUAAAGAAACUAAGAUAAAAAGAAUAUUUUUUCCCCAAUAGACUUAACAAUUCUCAUGUUAUUUUUCCUAUCUGUUGGUUCAGGUCUCCAUCUGGUAUGAUUUCUUUCAACCUGAGAUAUUUCUUUAGUACUUUCUUUGUAGUGUAGUUCUAUCUACAAUACUGAGCAAGUGUUUCUGCUUCUUGCACUAAAGAUGGGCUCUGUCCACCCAGCAGCCUCUGUCAGCAGCUUUCUCCAGAAGAAGCCUGAAGUCUUAGAGAUAAGCCAAGAGCAGGUAGUGUUUCUGACAAAGAGAAUGGAAAACCCACAUCUGGGAGGGAAGUGACUAAACUGGAGGCCUGGCCAUCACAGGUGCUCUGGGGAUGAAGUGUCAACAAAACGAUGAUGACAAAUGAAGGAAAGUGGAGAAGUGGACAUGUGACCAGACCUCUGCUAGUGUCCUGUUUCCUGUUGCUCUGACUGCUCCAGGGGAAAUUACCUGAAGGAAACACACUAUUCCGUCGUCAUGUUGGUCUUUCCUGUUAUUCAAGCAAAUAGCCUGCAGAUGGCGCACUAGCCAUUCGAUUUUCUGGUCCCCAUUUUCCUCCCCUUCUUCAAAGGGGAAGUCAGAAUCACUGGGGGAAAAGGGAGGAUUUGGAGGUACAAAUGAUCACCAUUGACAAUUUUUUCAUCUGAGCUGGGGUUUCUUUGCAAGAGUGAGAGCACAAUUUAGAAUGGACAAAAUUGCCCUGAAAACAGCCAGAAGAAUGUGAAAUAGCUUUCCUUCCACAGGGACUUCUGAGCCUGAGCUGGGGCUGUUAGGAGAGUCUGAGAGGUGCUGAACAGUCAACAAAAAACAUACACCAGAGCUGCGCUUUCUCUUUAGAAGAAAGCAGCACUGGCAUCCUCAAAAAUAAUUAUCAACAGAUGAAAUAAUAUCCUGUUUGGGAUUUUUUCAAAAAGACCCAGUGUGGUUCUGGGUAGGGAAGGAGGUGCAUCAAGACUGGAGAGCUUCAUGGCUAUGGCUGAGUGCAGGGAAUGGGACUUCCCUGUACUCUUCUCUCCAUUUGUGUGUGUGCUUCACGUGUCCUUAGUAGAUUUCAAAAUAAGGAUCUAGAUAUCUGUGUUUACUUAAAGGAACUGAAUUUUAUGACCAUCUGUCCAUCCAUGCCAUCCUGUCACCACACAGUGCCAGUGUCUAGCUCUGCUGGGCAUUUCUCAGCCUCUGAUGUCCAAUGUCUUCUGCCCUCAGCAUCCCUGGGAAGAGGAGAAUUGCUUAAGGGAUUCAGAUAAAAAGGCACUGACUCUGGGAAAGCAGAAGCGUUUUAAUUGCAUGUGUUUGCAACCAGCAAACCAUCUGUUGAGUUGCAUUUCUAUGUGUGGGCCUUGCUCUGUUAAAGUCAUGGGGCUUCUAAGGGACAUGGCAGACAAAGUGAGAAGCUUUCUCUUACCCUGUGAGGUUCAGAUGGCCAGAUGCAGGUGCACCUCUGCUUGGGCAGAGAUCUCGAUACUCUGAGGAUGUGAGACAGUCAAGCAUGAUGUUCAGCACCAGCUAUGGUUCUCAGGUUUCUGGCACCUGAAGGGAAUGGUGAGUCUGGAGUGGAGCGUGCUGGUGUAUGGACAGUUUUCACUGAGAGCGUCACUCCUGCAGCUCAGGAUCCCAGGUGAAGUGAGAGCUGCAGAGCUGCCAGUCACUGGGAAGCACUCUAUGCCUCCUUCAGAUUCUCACUCAGAAUAACCUUGCACCUGCAACCCCUGGGAAGAGGAACCAGGGAGCCGGGAAGUGCCAUUGAGGCUAAACCAACAUCCUUGCACUGGAUCAAGGUUCAAGCACAGGUCUGGAUCCUAGACUCCCUCUUGUCUGAAGCACAUGGCCCAUGAGGAACACUUUGGUCUCAGAAUCCCCAAUAAGGGAUUUUUCCCCCCAGUGAGUUGCUUUCCAUGGAAAUAGUCUGAGCAAUGCACCUCUCUCAUGACCUUGGCACUGCUGACCUUCCUGCCUGGAGGGCUUCUCCCAGGUCUCCCAAGGCAUCCUCCCUCACUUCUCUCCUGUCUUUGGUCUCGGUGUUGCCUGACUUCUAGAAAAUUCCAGUCUCAUACUUAUUACCUUCUACAUACCUUUUCUGCCUUGAUUUUUCUCCACAGCAUAAAUCAUGACCUGAUAAACCA